CAAUAUCUAAACGCCAGUCCCCGGCAACGGCGCCAUUUUGUUGAAAUACAAAAGUAAGUAUAUUUUUAUCGUCUCCACAGGGACUGAUGCGAUAUCGAUGCCGUUCAACAAUUAAUAUAAUUUCAAAGUAAAGGAUUUCAAAGAUUGGUUGAUUACGAAAGUUGCGAAUACAUGAAAGUAGUAAAGAUGAUUAAUUUGACAGAGAGAUUAAAUUGCUGGGAUUAGAUUUCAAUCAUUUCAAGUUUGCAUGAUUUUCAAUUUAUUGCAAGUUCAAAAUCAAACCUUCAUAAUCAUCAAACAAUCAAAGCAUGAAUGUGAAAUAGUUUCAAAAUUCAAGUAAGAUUUCAAGCUUUCCAAAUCAACAAGAUAAUCAACUAGAAUCACAAUUCUCACAAGUGUUUCAACUCAAGGGUGUAGUGUUUCUCUCAAUCCAAGCAAUGUGUUCACAACAAAUCAAUUCAAACAUACAUCUCAACAAAUCACAAGACAUGUUAUCAAUCAUGGAUCACUAAGGUCUUUCUUAAGCUUGUAAUGGGGCUAGGCUAAAAAAAAUAAUUGUUUUUCUUUGGAUUCAAAAUGCCUUAAGGAUAAGAGAGCAUAAUUCUUGAGAAUUUCAUCACAUAAGCUAUUUAUCCUCUUUCACUUUCCCCAUUUUUUCUUUCUUUUGGUAAUUCUUUUUGUAUGCCACAAUCUUUUCUUUCUUUAAUCUUUUCAAUUUCAAUGAUUUCUUUUGAUUGUAACAUUUUUUUUACAAUUCUUUUUCUUUUUCACAAUCACCAUUUUGAACUACUUCUUUCUUUUUGCAAACAAACAAAUAACCUCUUUCUCCCCAACUUGUUUUCAACCCUACUUAAAUUCAAUGCUCAAUCAUCCUAAGACAAGGGUUAAGUCAUUGUUUUUCUUUAUUAUGGUUCAAGGGUUCAAAACAAACAAAUUUUCAAAAGUUUGGCUCAAGGGGGUAGCAAAGGAUCACACAAGUCACAUGGUAGGUUAUAUUUGGCCAAAGUAGUUAUCACUCAAAAAGAAACAAGGCCUUGAUCAUAUCCAUGACAUCAAACACAUCAAGUAAUAGCAAGAUUCAGUUAAAACCAACAGAGUUAAACACAAUUGUCGGCUCUCAAAUAUAUAAACAAUGGAAGGUUCACACAAUCUCACCCGGCUAGGUCUACGUGAUUCAUAAUCAAUUAAUCAUGUUAAGAAGGAAUGGAUGAAAUCAAAUUGAAUAAAGCUACUUAGUUCAAAUUCAUCCUAUCAUUCAAAGAUAAUCACAAAGAUUUCACCUCAAGCAAUGCAAUUUGAAAAAUUCAUUCUAAUCAUGCAUUUGAAUUUGAUUAAUCACAAACCUAGACAUUUCAAUUCAUAUGCACAUUUAGCGAUCACAAAAAUUUAAACCAUGUAUGUUCACAAAAAUUUCAGUCAACAUUUGCAAUGAAACAUAAAACAUGAAUGUUAAUGACUGAAACAAUAAAAGUUCACUGUAUGUGGCGUGCUUUAGCUCCAUACUCUGCUUCAUCUAGCUCAUUAUUAACUCCAACUUCAACAUCGUUUUGAUGAGCUGCCUCCUCCGGUGCAUGUGGACUGACCUCAGGCCAUUUAACAAAUGCAGCAAAAACCUCAGGUGUAGGCCAUUUAACAUGUUGCACCUUGCUGCAGAUGCAUAGUAAACCUGUGCAUAUAAUCAUUCAAACUGUGUUUGCUCGGUGGUUAGUAUGUAAAAGUGAUAAUCAAUGUUCUAAAAGCAUUCACCACUUGAUUCACAUGAUCAUUGUUCCUAAAGUAAGGCACCAUUAAUCCAAGAUUUAAAAUAUGAAAGUGAUUAACAAGUUUCAGUGAAAGUACCAUCAUACCAUUCAUGCUUUGUUUUGGGUAUAGAAGAGAAAAAAAAAAUAAUAUCUGACAUUGUAAUUCAUCACAUAACCAAGUAUAUCCAACUGGAGUAAAUGAAGUGCAAAGCAUUCCUAUGUGCAAUUGUUGUGAUGAAAAACGUAAGUUUCAUAAAAAGGUGAAGCAAGGAAACAUGAAUUCAUUGGAAACAGACACCAGCCCUGUUCUUGUCUAAUUACCCAAGUAACACACCUUAAACAUGUAAAUCCACACUCAAACAGAGAUUUUCCAAAUAAAAAUGAAGGAUUAAAAAUCCUAAUUUCGUUUUCCAUGAAGAGUGAUAAACCACAAAAGUCCCUAAUUCAUCUAUAUUGAAUCUCAAAUUCACAAAUUAAGUAAACCCACUUCAAUAAUAAUGAACAUUAAAGCAUUAGAAUAGACUUACUUGUGAAAAGAUGAAGAAUGAGAUGAAAUUUAGGAUUUUAAAUAAAUGGAUGAAUUCUUUUGCAAACCCUUGUGAAUCUGAAUGAGUCAAAAGAUGUUUUUUUUUUUUUUGGAUGGGAUGAAUAAAAUUGGAUGAAUUUGAGUGACAGAAGAUCAAAAUUCGUGAGAGGGAAGAGUAGUUGAGGGUUUUAACGUGAAGGAGUGUGUGGAUGUUUCAAAACUCAGUCUUCUUCGCUUAGCCAAAGAAACGGUCGCUUAGCGAAGUCAUGAAAACAGGCAAAAAAUUGCAGAACUUUUCCUUCAAAUGCAAUGGUUCAAUUUUGGCUCAUAUAUAAAAUCUUUCAAAACAUGCCUAAAUAUACUAAAAUGAUAAAUUGCAAAAAUUAAAUAGUAAAGAUAGAAAAUUGGGUUGCCUCCCAACAAGCGCUUCUUUAACGUCACUAGCUUGACGCCUUUUUGGUUAGGGUGGCCAAAAUGAGACGGAAAGCACAUCAUCCGUCUUUUUCCUUCGGUUAGGGAGGAACUCCAUGAAUUUUAGAUAUAAAUGUUGCGGAGUCCAUAUCCUCCCUAAUUCUUUUUUAUUAAACAAGGCACAAAUUUCAUCAAUGACUCUAUCAACCUUCGCCUUGUUUUCCAUCUCCUUCUUUUGUUCACAUGAUUCUUCCUUGCUAAAUAAUCCUUCAUUUUCCUCCGCAACCAUCAUCACUUGUUCCUUAUCAACAGUGUUAGCUUCCUCCGUACAUGGCAAUUCUUGAGGAAGUUCAACUUCAUGCGGUGUAUCUAUUUCUUUCACUAUUUUCUUUACACCACAUCCUUCGAACAUUCUUUCCUCCUCAUUGUUUUCAACACCUUCCACACUCUCUUCACUUUCCUCAUUUAGAAUAUUAUCUUUCUCGUCAGGAGUGGUUUGUGUGUUGGUUUGAAAUGUUCCUCCUUGGUUAUUGUUAUUGGCUAACAGUUUAGCCAACUGAACAAGCUGAUUUUCCAAAUUUUUGGCCCGUGCAAGACUGUUUUUCAUAUAUUGUCGGUGUUGGUCUUGCAUCUGUUGCAUUUGUUCAUUCAUUUGUUGCCACUGUUGGUUUUGUUGCUGCUGCAUUUCCAUGAAUUUAAUCAUGGUCUCCUCCAAUCUAGCCUCUGAAGUUUGCCCAUAACUAUAAGGAGGAAACUGUUGAUAUGAUUCAUACUCACCCGGAGUAUAGAAGUUAUAAUAACCACGAUCAGUCAUGGUUUAACUUUUAAUGGGGAAUCUGAAAAAGGAUUCAACAAACAAGAAAAACAACUUUCUUUGUCUAGCAAAGAAGGAUUAGUGCAAGAAAAA